GGGCUCGCUUUGGCAGCACAGAGGCUGAAAUUGGAACGACACAGAGAAGAUUAGCCAGGCCCCUGGGCAAGGAGUAAUGUCUGCUCUGACAGCCUCCACGGUCUC